GGGGAGGCUGACAUGUACUUUUCCCAACUUGCCCUCUCUUCUAUUUCCAGGAGGACAACUGCGUGUGUGUUGGGGGAAAAGGCAGCUGAAGGUGCAGGGAUGGUGGGGAGUAACCAGGCUUGAAUGAUAUCUGAAAACAAAAUAAGUCUUAUACGGCAAGUGGACAUGUAAAUUGCUAUAACCUUUCUGGAGGGCAAUUUUGAAAUAUGUCUCAAAAGCUUUACUAUUCCACAUACUCUUUGAUAUUCCAAUUUAUAUGAAUUUACAUUAAGGAAAUAAUAAUGGAUAGUGUUCACUGAGGCAUGAACAUCUUUGUAGUAAGAACCAGAAAUCAACCUAAAUGUCUAACAAUAACUAAAUUAGCAUACAUGUCCUGCUACAGACUGAGUUGUGUCCCCCCAAAACUCAGAGGUUGAAUCCCUAACCCCCAAUGUGCCUGUGUUUGGAGGCAGGGCCUAUAAGGAGGUAAUUAAGGUUAAGGGGGGUCAUUAGGGUGGGGCCCUAAUCCAGUAGGACUGGUGUCCUUCUAAGAAGAAGAAGAGAUACCCGGAGUGUGCACGCACAGAGAGAAGGCCAUGUGAGGACACAGCAAGCAGGCAGCUGUCUGCAAGCCAAGGAGCGAGGCCCGGCCAGAAACCAACCCUGCCAGCACCUUGAUCUUGGACUUCCACCUUCAGAACGUUUAGGACUUAUGGUUUGGCUAAAUCCCUUUACUAAAAUCACAAAUGCUGCGUGAAUUGAUGGACAAGGAGACAAGAAAGAAUCCUGUAGCCCAUGCUCAUACUCCCAGACACAGCAAGUAGAGGGACAUUUUUAUGUGACCCAGCUAUUUGCUCUCUGUCAGCGACUUCACAGGUGGCCUUGGCCCCUAAAAGCCAGUCAUCAAAAGAUCAUGAUCAAAGAGAACCCUUCACACAGUGUGGACCACCUGCCUAGAAAACGCCUCUGUCAGCAUCCUCCCCCUUCCAUUUCCAAUGUCCAGAGUUUCACAUAAUUUCUGUUCUUCUCUCUGAUGCAAGCUCCAGGCAGCCGUCUGUGUUAUUAGAUUUAAGUAUCCAGGUCAACAGCAUCCAUCGCCAGCCCACCGCUCAGCUGGGAGGGCUGUAGCCGAGGCUUCUCGACGCUCGCUGUUUUCAUUUCAGCUUGUGUCUUCCUCCUUCACACAGCAGAGGCGUUCAGCAUCCGGAGGGAGAGGCAGCUGAGAGCAUGAAGCAGGGUUAUCAUGAAACCAAAGCCUAAAUGUGCGCGCUCACCAGGCCUGGCACGGACUCAUCCC
rnacentral:lncRNA from 1 species